rnacentral:tRNA from 1 species
GCCUGGGUGGCUCAGUCAGUUGAGCGUCUGACUUCAAACUCAGGUCAUGAUCUCACAGCUCGUGGGUUUGAGCCCCGCAUCAGGCU